GAUGAACGCUAGCUACAGGCUUAACACAUGCAAGUCGAGGGGAAACGAUAGGGAAAGCUUGCUUUUUCUAGGCGUCGACCGGCGCACGGGUGAGUAACGCGUAUCCAACCUGCCCAUCACUUGGGGAUAACCUUGCGAAAGUAAGACUAAUACCCAAUGACGUCUCUAGAAGACAUCUGAAGGAGAUUAAAGAUUUAUCGGUGAUGGAUGGGGAUGCGUCUGAUUAGCUUGUUGGCGGGGUAACGGCCCACCAAGGCGACGACCAGUAGGGGUUCUGAGAGGAAGGUCCCCCACAUUGGAACUGAGACACGGUCCAAACUCCUACGGGAGGCAGCAGUGAGGAAUAUUGGUCAAUGGACGAGGGUCUGAACCAGCCAAGUAGCGUGCAGGAAGACGGCCCUAUGGGUUGUAAACUGCUUUUAUAAGGGAAUAAAGUGAGUCUCGUGAGACUUUUUGCAUGUACCUUAUGAAUAAGGACCGGCUAAUUCCGUGCCAGCAGCCGCCGUAA
rnacentral:rRNA from 1 species